AACGAACGCUGGCGGCAGGCUUAACACAUGCAAGUCGAGCGCGUAGCAAUACGAGCGGCAGACGGGUGAGUAACGCGUGGGAAUCUACCGUGCCCUACGGAAUAGCUCCGGGAAACUGGAAUUAAUACCGUAUACGCCCUUCGGGGGAAAGAUUUAUCGGGGUAUGAUGAGCCCGCGUUGGAUUAGCUAGUUGGUGGGGUAAAGGCCUACCAAGGCGACGAUCCAUAGCUGGUCUGAGAGGAUGAUCAGCCACAUUGGGACUGAGACACGGCCCAAACUCCGACGGGAGGCAGCAGUGGGGAAGAUUGGACAAUGGGCGCAAGCCUGAUCCAGCCAUGCCGCGUGAGUGAUGAAGGCCCUAGGGUUGUAAAGCUCUUUCACCGGUGAAGAUAAUGACGGUAACCGGAGAAGAAGCCCCGGCUAACUUCGUGCCAGCCGCCGCCGUAACAC
rnacentral:rRNA from 1 species